rnacentral:rRNA from 1 species
UUUAUUGGAGAGUUUGAUCCUGGCUCAGGACGAACGCUGGCGGCGUGCCUAAUACAUGCAAGUCGAGCGGACCUUGUGUUUCCUUCGGGAGACGCCAGGUUAGCGGCGGACGGGUGAGUAACACGUAGGCAACCUGCCUGUAAGACCGGGAUAACUUGCGGAAACGUGAGCUAAUAC